UUAAUCUUUAAUAGGGCUGUCAAAAUUGAGAGCAACCAAAACAACUGCUGUGUAAUGCCCUCCGCUAUCUUAGUUUAAUUGGUCACAGGACUGCAUCACAACUAAAAUGUGUCAUUGUUUUCGAAAAGGCUCUGGGUUUGCUGUCCACACUGCAAAGUGAAAAUGGCAUUUUCAAAUGUAUCCAGUUUGGAGAGCAUUUUCAACCCUCUCAGUGUGGACGAAAGGCCGAAACGGAGAGAAAAAGAUGUUUUCAAACGAAAACGUAUUAGUGUGGACAUGGCCUGAAUUGCCUGCUCAGCAUGCAGUCAUGUUCUAUAGUCUUGCUAAUGACCUACUAAUUUUAUUCUGGUGUGUUGCAGCAGGGACACAUUUAAAAGUUUCAGGACACUGGCCCUCGAGUUUGACACCUGCGCUCUACAGGAAGCUGUGAGGCUGAUGCCGCCGGUCACACUUUAUGAAAAAUUGUGGUUCAGCGUCUGUCCACACGGGGGAGCUGCAGGAGGACUGAUAGACUGAAGAUCUGCUUUGUGGGCUGGACCUCUGCAGACACCAGAAUGAAAGCAGAACCUGCAUUUUGACUCUCACAGUGCCUCCCUGAGGUUUGACUGAGUCACAAUAGUUUAUGAUCCAGCUGCAUGUUGGAGGUCAAAGGUCAGCUGCUGGCUGUUAGAGGUCAGGUCUUUGGGUCAGUCUGAAUGUGACAAACACACUGCGUCACUUGCUGAGGAGUCGAGUCCCAGAUCAGUUCCAGACGCUAGCCCUCGAGCAGAGAGGGUUGGUGGUCUGUGCUGUGGCUCAAGUGCAGGUUGAGAUCACAAGAAGACCUGCGAGCUGCUGACGUUACACGUGUAUGACGAUGUGAAGAGAAGGAAGCUGAAUGCAGAGGUGGCGCUCUCCGCCUCUGCCGCCGGGCCAUGUUACACCACAGUUCAAGAGGUGGGCGAUGAACGUGUCACAGGUGCAACUCACCUGACCUGACUACACCUGAGUGUGUGGUCAGGUGAGUCUGAGGAGGACCUGUGUCCGUCACAUGUCUGCUGGGACUCUGCAGACACACACGUGUUGAUGCAGAUGUAAAAACCUCGAUGUUUGGAAAUGCUGAGCUGGAUUUGAUACAAACCUUCUGCUGUUUUUAUUUUUGUUUCAUUCUUUAUUUUCUGUAACAGAAUGAAAUAAAUCAGGUUACAUUGUUUUCAUUUGUCAGUGAUGACAGUCAUGCACCUGAGGGCAUCAUCAAACUGUUUUAAUCUGUCCCAAACAUUUGCACAGAUGUAACAUUAUCUACAGCUGCUCUCAGUACCACUGAUGUUAAUUUAGGGUCUUUCUCUCCAGCUGAUCUGAGUUAACUUGAUUAACUACCACCAGCUGCUUCAGCCUGUUCUUUUCUGUAAUUCCACCUUGUAUCACAUGGUGGUGCAGUGAGUCACUGUAACUUUCAUUUAAUUAGAGUUUAUUUCCUGUAAACAAAUAUUAAAUGAUUUCUAAUCAGUUGCUUAAA